rnacentral:rRNA from 1 species
UAUCAGCACCCCGAGUGGUCGGGACGUUUAUUGGGCCUAAAGCAUCCGUAGCCGGUUCUGCAAGUCUUCCGUUAAAUCCACCUGCUUAACAGAUGGGCCGCGGAAGAUACUAUAGAGCUAGGAGGCGGGAGAGGCAAGCGGUACUCGAUGGGUAGGGGUAAAAUCCGUUGAUCCAUUGAAGACCACCAGUGGCGAAGGCGGCUUGCCAGAACGCGCUCGACGGUGAGGGAUGAAAGCUGGGGGAGCAAACCGGG